rnacentral:tmRNA from 1 species
GGGGGCGUACAUGGUUUCGACGGGGAUUUUGAGGGUUCAAGAAGCGAGCGGCGGCCCUGGACCGCCUCAACAACGGGAACAAAUAAUAACUGCGAACGAUAAUACCGUUCUCGCAGCCGCUUAAGGCUGCGCGUUGGACCUAUGCCUCCCGCGGCGUAGCAAUCCGGCGUCAUUAAGGCGGGGAACGAACUUGCCUAAGCUUUGCUGCAAGCCGGACUUUAUGAAGCUACUGAAACCUUGAGCCUGUCCACGGGCGCUCGGUAGAGGGAACGUUAAAUCAUGGACUGCGCUCGGAGAUGCUUGGAUUCUUGGGUUUUCGGACAGGGGUUCGACUCCCCUCGCCUCCACCA